rnacentral:rRNA from 1 species
GAUGAACGCUGGCGGCGUGCCUAAUACAUGCAAGUCGAGCGAACAGACGAGGAGCUUGCUCCUCUGACGUUUGCGGCGGACGGGUGAGUAACACGUGGAUAACCUACCUAUAAGACUGGGAUAACUUCGGGAAACCGGAGCUAAUACCGGAUAAUAUAUUGAACCGCAUGGUUCAAUAGUGAAAGACGGUUUUGCUGUCACUUAUAGAUGGAUCCGCGCCGCAUUAGCUAGUUGGUAAGGUAACGGCUUACCAAGGCGACGAUGCGUAGCCGACCUGAGAGGGUGAUCGGCAACACUGGAACUGAGACACGGUCCAGACUCCUACGGGAGGAAGCAGUAGGGAAUCUUCCGCAAUGGGCGAAAGCCUGACGGAGCAACGCCGCGUGAGUGAUGAAGGUCUUCGGAUCGGAAAACUCUGUUAUUAGGGAAGAACAAAUGUGUAAGUAACUAUGCACGUCUUGACGGUACCUAAUCAGAAAGCCACGGCUAACUACGUG